UACGUAGGGUGCGAGCGUUAAUCGGAAUUACUGGGCGUAAAGCGUGCGCAGGCGGUUUUGUAAGUCAGAUGUGAAAUCCCCGGGCUUAACCUGGGAACUGCAUUUGUGACUGCAUGGCUGGAGUGCGGCAGAGGGGGAUGGAAUUCCGCGUGUAGCAGUGAAAUGCGUAGAUAUGCGGAGGAACACCGAUGGCGAAGGCAAUCCCCUGGGCCUGCACUGACGCUCAUGCACGAAAGCGUGGGGAGCAAACAGG
rnacentral:rRNA from 1 species